CCUAGAAGUAAACGCGAGAAACUUCCGCGGCAUCCGUCGCCGUGCAUCAAAGUUGAGUGGAGGGUUCGCUAUCGAGAGGGCCAAAUUUGUUCAUCAGGAGAUGUUGAGUCGCUUCUCCUCUUCUCAAUUCCUAUGAGGUGCAGCGAAUAAUUUCUCCGACAUUUUUUAUUCAUUUAAUUAAUUAUUUUCUUAUUUGUAUUUUGAGAUUUGUUUUUUAGUUUGAUUCGGAAAAAAAUUUGGUCCGAUGAUGGCAUGGAAUCUUUGAGACCUGAUUUAUUAUUUUUCUGAUGAAAAGUAUAAGCAUAUAUAUUUCUGAGGACCCAAUCAAAUAAAAAAGACCAAAUCUAAUUUAUUUUUAUUUUAUAAUUUUUUUUAAUUGAAAAUGAUUGGAUGAUGAAAUGCACUGGGCUCUGAGCAUGUCAUUGCAAAUAUGAUAGAAAUGCGUUUGCCCUAGAAAGCAUUAUCUGACUAAUUACAUGAAUUUUAGAUCUAAUUUUUUUGAAAAAUUAUAUUCAUUAUUAUUGAAAGAGAAAAUUUUAUAAUUAAUUAUCGUGGCUAAUAUUAGUAGAAUAUUUUAAAAAAAUAAUGUACGCACCUUGGUUAUUGUCAAUGGUAGUGGUGGUUUUAUUUAAACAAAUAACUCAUUUACAUUGAGACCUGGAUUAAUAAAAAAACAAAACUCAAUGUAAAUGAAAAGAAAUCAGUGCACUUUUAAGUCGCAUAAAAAUUUUGUAUUAUUUCUGGAUAGAUGCAACUCGUAUGCAAACAAUGAGUGAUAUCACCUUGCCUCUUGAAAACUAAAUAAAAGAGAUUGUUUUUCUUACUAAAAUCAUCCAAAUUAACAAAUUUUUGGAUAAUUUAUUUAGUUUUAUAUGAUUUUAUUUUAUAAAUAUAAAAAAAAUUGUUGACUAACUUGAUUUGUUAUGCUUUGUAUUUGAAUUUAACAGUAGGUUAAAAUUUCCCUUUUUUUAUAAUAACAGUAAAAUGUAUGAUUAAAAUUAGAUGCAAAGAAUACUUACAGUGAAGCUGGCCAAUUUCCUACCUGUAUCUCAAAUUAUACCCCAAAAAAAAAAAA